rnacentral:rRNA from 1 species
AUGCCCUACAGUCCCCGGUACGACGACGACGGGGAGGACUACUCCUCCGAGGACGUCGAAAUGUGGAUCCGCGCUGCCAUAAACCGCAGGGCCCGGUUCAUCCAGCUCAGCCACCACCCAAGGGACGACGACCUCUCCGACCUCGACAACGUGCCCCUCGUCUCCUGCCACCUCAAACACCUGCAUCUGUCGGGCACAAUGCUGUACGACAAGACGCUGAGGCAGCUCUCCUCUCAGUGCCCUUCUCUGCAAGUCCUGGAGCUCAAAGACUGCUCCCUGGAUGGCCCCCACAUAUCAUCUGCCUCGCUUAUCACUUUCACCAUGGUCGAGUGCAGGAUCAUCAGGGACCUCACCGUUGCUGCUCCCAACCUCAUAUCGCUGCGCUGUGUCAAUCCAUACCACCACGCCCCCUCGUUCCAAGACAUGGCUUCCCUGGCCACAGCCACAAUCAUGCUUAAUGACUCUUUCUUGCAUGAUGAGUUUGAAGAGAGGUAUGCAGAGCCCGAUCCAGAGGUGUUUGAGUGUGACAGUGACUCAAAUGAUGACAGCGACGCUGAUAGCGACUUGAGUACAAGUGAUGAGUUCUAUGGUGACAAAGUUUUAGGUGGCCAAAAUGUUAUCCGCAGCCUGUCGAAUGCUACAAGUUUGGAGCUGAUAGCUGAUGCCGAAGAGGUGAUUCUGAAUAGGGAAUUGGAGAUGUGCCCAGUUUUUAGCAACCUGAAGGUGUUAUCCCUUGGUGAAUGGUGUAUGGCUGCUGACUUGCAUCCAUUAGUUUUGUUCCUGCAGCAUGCUCCAAAUCUCGAGAGGCUUUUUCUUAAACUCAAAACGGAACAUGAGGAAAUAGAUGACGAUAUCAAACCCGAGGGUACAUCAUUUGCUUGCAAAAACCUUACAAUGGUCAAUAUAAAAUGUCCCAUGGAUGAUGAAAGAGUUCCUGUGUUAGAACAGUUCUUCGUGGCUAAUGGCAUAGCGAUGGAAAAGAUAUCUGUCUAUCACCGACCGACUCACCAACCUCGCCUUUCCUUGGCCAUAAGACGCUGA